rnacentral:tRNA from 1 species
GCGGGCCAGGCGGUGGCCCUGGCCCGCCCACAGGUUCAUGCCCUGUGGGUCGCCGGCCGCCGCGGCGGCCUUGCGC